rnacentral:rRNA from 1 species
UACGUAGGGGGCAAGCGUUGUCCGGAAUCAUUGGGCGUAAAGCGCGUGUAGGCGGCUUGGUAAGUCUGCUCUGAAAGCCCGGGGCUCAACCCCGGGAGGCGGGUGGAUACUGUCAAGCUCGAGUCCGGAAGAGGCGAGUGGAACUCCUGGUGUAGCGGUGGAAUGCGCAGAUAUCAGGAAGAACACCAACGGCGAAGGCAGCUCGCUGGGACGGUACUGACGCUGAGACGCGAAAGCGUGGGGAGCGAACAGG